rnacentral:misc_RNA from 1 species
UAGGUAGACGCCAUCAAACGAUCAGACAGAGCAAAAAUCAAGCCGGCCGGACGCCAGUCACAAAGUACGCCAGCGGGCGACGGGCGCUCCGCGGCACGCAAACGACAAGGGGCCGGCCUACGCCGGUCACGAAGCAGAGCAAACAGCAGGCUGCGUGACCGCAGCCUGCACUAGGAGCGCUCAGCCAGAGGCCUCGCUACUUCCUAAUGAUCCUUCCGCAGGUUCACCUACGGAAA